rnacentral:rRNA from 1 species
GAUGAACGCUGGCGGCGUGCCUAAUACAUGCAAGUCGAGCGAACAGAUGAGGAGCUUGCUCCUCUGACGUUAGCGGCGGACGGGUGAGUAACACGUGGAUAACCUACCUAUAAGACUGGGAUAACUUCGGGAAACCGGAGCUAAUACCGGAUAAUAUAUUGAACCGCAUGGUUCAAUAGUGAAAGACGGUUUUGCUGUCACUUAUAGAUGGAUCCGCGCCGCAUUAGCUAGUUGGUAAGGUAACGGCUUACCAAGGCAACGAUGCGUAGCCGACCUGAGAGGGUGAUCGGCCACGCUGGAACUGAGACACGGUCCAGACUUCUACGGGAGGCAGCAGUAGGGAAUCUUCCGCAAUGGGCGAAAGCCUGACGGAGCAACGCCGCGUGAGUGAUGAAGGUCUUCGGAUCGUAAAACUCUGUUAUUAGGGAAGAACAAAUGUGUAAGUAACUAUGCACGUCUUGACGGUACCUAAUCAGAAAGCCACGGCUAACUACGUG